rnacentral:lncRNA from 1 species
CAGGUAGCUGGGGCCAGUAAUUUUCUCCAGCCUGUGCUGCAAAAUUUACCUGAGCUCAUUUGUCAAGCUUUGAAUCCUUAAAUCCAUAACUCCAAUUAAUUAGGAAUCUCUAAUUACCCCAAAAUGGCACUCUGUAUUUAAGGCUAAGGUGUGGUGAAAUCCAGAGAAAGAAAACAUUAGAGAAGCUGGAGGAUAUUUAGAGCUGGAGAUGCUGGAAAAUGUGCAUUUUCAGAGCUCAGGGUACACAUAGGUGCAAAGGAAGCCCUGUGGCUCUACAUGUCAGUGGGACUGGAAGCAGGUCCUGAGCUGGUAGAAGCCACUGUCUGAUAUUCAGACAUCCAUCCUUGGGUGUCUCACAAGUUCCCUUUUUUCAGUAAGUAAUGACACCAAACCUCCCAGCAGGAGGUUCCUGCACCAGAGAUGUAUAACAAAGCAACCUUUAGGACUUAAGCCCAACUGUAUUUUCUGUUCCAGAAGCAGACUGGAUGAGGCUCUAGCUCUAUACAACUUUAAACCAGAAACCCCAAGGGGGAUGUUAUUGAAAACAACGGUGCAGACAGGUUCUGGCCCUGCCCUUGUAAGAGGAAAAAGCCCUUUCACAGUUGAGGUCUUAUUAUAUUAAGUUAAAAAUGUAUAGCUUUUAACUAGGUUGUAACCAGUUAAUGUGAUUCAGGAAAGGCUGUAAGGUGGAUAGAAGCUUUCCCUCUUUGCCUUGCUGCACAGGUUACUGUUUUUCCAGACCUCACAUGUGAGACCAGUUAACACAGGCUCAGCAAUUAGGCUGUGAAGUCACCUGAUUAAGUGAGGGGCAACAGCAGGUUUUGGGGCUGAUUGACUUCAGUAGGGCUGCAGCUAACAGCCUGAAACGCUACUUUCCCAGUUCUGCUGGGCUCCUUCUCUUGGACAAACCAGCACCAGCUUUUCAGCAAAGCUCUGAGUGGCAGCUCUUACUGCCUGGGAACAGACUCAUGUGGCCCAGUCAGGAGGAUGACAGCUCUGCACCACCGAGGUUUUAUGAGUAAAAAUAUCAAGAACAUUAAAUCUGUGCUGAAAAUUUAUUGGAAGAAUCUAAUGGGAGAAAUGGGAUGCCAGAACUCUAACAAAGGCUUCCCCCCCAUCUGUUUAAUCAGGUGUUUGAGUGUAGAAGGUGUUUUAACACAAGUUUGUGCAGAUGGUGGGGAAAAUGCUCAGCUAUUUGACUGAAAAUCACUUCCUCUCUCAGAGAGGGAACACUUUC